rnacentral:rRNA from 1 species
AUGGUAGAGGAGCGUUCUGUAAGCGGUUGAAGGUGCAUCGAGAGGUGUGCUGGACGUAUCAGAAGUGCGAAUGCUGACAUGAGUAACGAUAAGGGAGGUGAAAAACCUCCCCGCCGAAAGAUCAAGGUUUCCUGUCCAACGUUAAUCGGGACAGGGUGAGUCGGCCCCUAAGGCGAGGGCGAAAGCCGUAGUCGAUGGGAAACCGGUUAAAAUUCCGGUACCGACUCUUACUGCGAUGGGGUGACGGAGAAGGCUAGGCUGGCAGGGUGUUGGUUGUCCCUGUUUAAGCGAGUAGGUAGGGGGCUUAGGUAAAUCCGGGCCCUCGUUAAUCUGAGACGCGAUGACGAUCUCCUGGGGAAACCCUCGAGAGAAGCAGUCGAUGCCAUACUUCCAGGAAAAACCUCUAAGCUUCAGGUAAGAGUUGACCGUACUGUAAACCGACACAGGUGAUCAGGUAGAGAAUACCAAGGCGCUUGAGAGAACUU